rnacentral:rRNA from 1 species
AGCGUAGGCGGCAAGAUAAGUUAGAUGUGAAAGCCCGCAGCUUAACUGCGGAACUGCAUCUAAAACUGUCUAGCUUGAGUGCAGGAGAGGUAAGUGGAAUUCCUAGUGUAGCGGUGGAAUGCGUAGAUAUUAGGAGGAACACCAGAGGCGAAGGCGACUUACUGGACUGUAACUGACACUGAGGCUCGAAAGCGUGGGGAGCAAACA